rnacentral:rRNA from 1 species
ACGCUGGCGGCGUGCCUAAUACAUGCAAGUAGAACGCUGAAGAGAGGAGCUUGCUCUUCUUGGAUGAGUUGCGAACGGGUGAGUAACGCGUAGGUAAUCUGCCUUGUAGCGGGGGAUAACUAUUGGAAACGAUAGCUAAUACCGCAUAACAAUGGGUGACACAUGUCAUUUAUUUGAAAGGGGCAAUUGCUCCACUACAAGAUGGACCUACGUUGUAUUAGCUAGUAGGUGAGGUAACGGCUCACCUAGGCGACGAUACAUAGCCGACCUGAGAGGGUGAUCGGCCACACUGGGACUGAGACACGGCCCAGACUCCUACGGGAGGCAGCAGUAGGGAAUCUUCGGCAAUGGGGGCAACCCUGACCGAGCAACGCCGCGUGAGUGAAGAAGGUUUUCGGAUCGUAAAGCUCUGUUGUAAGUCAAGAACGAGUGUGAGAGUGGAAAGUUCACACUGUGACGGUAGCUUACCAGAAAGGGACGGCUAACUACGUGCCAGCAGCCGCGGUAAUACGUAGGUCCCGAGCGUUGUCCGGAUUUAUUGGGCGUAAAGCGAGCGCAGGCGGUUUGAUAAGUCUGAAGUUAAAGGCUGUGGCUCAACCAUAGUUCGCUUUGGAAACUGUCAAACUUGAGUGCAGAAGGGGAGAGUGGAAUUCCAUGUGUAGCGGUGAAAUGCGUAGAUAUAUGGAGGAACACCGGUGGCGAAAGCGGCUCUCUGGUCUGUAACUGACGCUGAGGCUCGAAAGCGUGGGGAGCGAACAGGAUUAGAUACCCUGGUAGUCCACGCCGUAAACGAUGAGUGCUAGGUGUUGGAUCCUUUCCGGGAUUCAGUGCCGCAGCUAACGCAUUAAGCACUCCGCCUGGGGAGUACGACCGCAAGGUUGAAACUCAAAGGAAUUGACGGGGGCCCGCA